rnacentral:rRNA from 1 species
CCUACGGGAGGCAGCAGUGGGGAAUAUUGCACCAUGGGGGAAACCCUGAUGCAGCGACGCCGCGUGAGUGCAGAAGUAAUUCGUUACGUAAAGCUCUAUCAGCAGGGAAGAAAAUGACGGUACCUGAGUAAGAAGCCCCGGCUAAAUACGUGCCAGCAGCCGCUGUAAUACGUAGGGGGCAAGCGUUAUCCGGAUGUACUGGGUGUAAAGGGAUUGUAGACGGUGCGCCAAUUCUGGAGUGAAAUGACUCAGAUUAAAUGGGGAACUGCUUUGGAAACUGGCGAACUAGAGUGGGGGAGGGUUAAGCGGAAGUCCAAGUGUAGGAGUGAAAUGCGUAGAUAUUAGGAGGAACACCGGUGGAGAAGGCGGCUUACUGGACCGUAACUGACGUUGAGGCUCGAAAGCGUGGGGAGCAAACAGGAUUAGAUACCCGAGUAGUC